CAGUCGCCGCGGUAAUACAGAGGGUGCGAGCGUUAAUCGGAUUUACUGGGCGUAAAGCGUGCGUAGGCGGCUUCUUAAGUCGGAUGUGAAAUCCCUGAGCUUAACUUAGGAAUUGCAUUCGAUACUGGGAAGCUAGAGUAUGGGAGAGGAUGGUAGAAUUCCAGGUGUAGCGGUGAAAUGCGUAGAGAUCUGGAGGAAUACCGAUGGCGAAGGCAGCCAUCUGGCCUAAUACUGACGCUGAGGUACGAAAGCAUGGGGAGCAAACAGGAUUAGAUACCCCUGUAGUCCCUGUCUCUUAUAU
rnacentral:rRNA from 1 species